AAGUCGUAACAAGGUUUCUGUAGGUGAACCUGCAGAAGGAUCAUUAGUGAAAGCAAGGGCCUGCCAUACGGACGGCGCGUACUCCGCGUGAAACGUCUCUGGCGCCCAACUUUACACCAAUAUCCACAAACCCGUGUGCACACUGUUGAGGGGAAAAGUUUUCUUUUGGAAGCUUUCCCCUCAAACUCUUGAAACAAACUCGUAUGGUUGUAUGAACGUGGAAAUCGUUGGACCGUAACUGGCCAACAAACAAACAAUACAACUUUCGACAACGGAUCUCUUGGUUCUCC
rnacentral:misc_RNA from 1 species